CGGGUGAGGAAUACAUCGGAAUCUACUCUGUCGUGGGGGAUAACGUAGGGAAACUUACGCUAAUACCGCAUACGACCUACGGGUGAAAGCAGGGGAUCUUCGGACCUUGCGCGAUUGAAUGAGCCGAUGUCGGAUUAGCUAGUUGGUGAGGUAAUGGCUCACCAAGGCGACGAUCCGUAACUGGUCUGAGAGGAUGAUCAGUCACACUGGAACUGAGACACGGUCCAGACUCCUACGGGAGGCAGCAGAA
rnacentral:rRNA from 1 species